AUUGAACGCUGGCGGCAUGCCUUACACAUGCAAGUCGAACGGCAGCGGGGGAGAAGCUUGCUUUUCUUGCCGGCGAGUGGCGAACGGGUGAGUAAUACAUCGGAACGUGCCCUGUAGUGGGGGAUAACUAGUCGAAAGAUUAGCUAAUACCGCAUACGACCUGAGGGUGAAAGUGGGGGACCGCAAGGCCUCAUGCUAUAGGAGCGGCCGAUGUCUGAUUAGCUAGUUGGUGGGGUAAAGGCCUACCAAGGCGACGAUCAGUAGCUGGUCUGAGAGGACGAUCAGCCACACUGGGACUGAGACACGGCCCAGACUCCUACGGGAGGCAGCAGUGGGGAAUUUUGGACAAUGGGCGAAAGCCUGAUCCAGCAAUGCAGCGUGCGUGAAGAAGGCCUUCGGGUUGUAAAGCACUUUUGUCCGGAAAGAAAUGGCUCUGGUUAAUACCUGGGGUCGAUGACGGUACCGGAAGAAUAAGGACCGGCUAACUACGUGCCAGCAGCCGCGGUAA
rnacentral:rRNA from 1 species